CGAAUGGGUUUAGACCCAUGGCAGACGAGGUAGGAACACGUAGGUACGUACCGGAAAGUCGGGGAUAACCUGGAGAAAUCCAGAAUAAUACUCGAUAGUCCCUUCGGGGUAAAGAUUUAUCGCUUUCUGAACGGCCUGCGUUCUAUCAGCUUGAUGGUAAGGUGACGGCUUACCAUGGCUACGACGGAUAGGGGAGGUGAGGGCCUGACCCCCACCGAUGGAACUGCGACACGGUCCAU
rnacentral:rRNA from 1 species